rnacentral:rRNA from 1 species
CCUACGGGUGGCAGCAGUAGGGAAUAUUGGUCAAUGGAUGCAAGUCUGAACCAGCCAUGCCGCGUGCAGGAAGAAGGCCUUCUGGGUUGUAAACUGCUUUUGCCAGGGGCUAAAAAGCCCAUGCGUGGGAAAUUGAAAGUACCUGGUGAAUAAGCCACGGCUAACUACGUGCCAGCAGCCGCGGUAAUACGUAGGUGGCGAGCGUUGUCCGGAUUUAUUGGGUUUAAAGGGUGCGUAGGCGGCCUUGUAAGUCAGUGCUGAAAUACCCCGGCUUAACCGGGGGGGUGGCAUUGAUACUGCAGGGCUUGAGUACAGAUGAGGUAGGCGGAAUUGACGGUGUAGCGGUGAAAUGCAUAGAUAUCGUCAAGAACACCUAUAGCGAAGGCAGCUUACUAAGCUGUAACUGACGCUGAGGCACGAAAGUGUGGGGAUCAAACAGG